rnacentral:rRNA from 1 species
UUGAACGCUGGCGGCAGGCCUAACCCAUGCAAGUCGAGCGGAUGAAGGGAGCUUGCUCCUGGAUUCAGCGGCGGACGGGUGAGUAAUGCCUAGGAAUCUGCCUGGUAGUGGGGGAUAACGUCCGGAAACGGGCGCUAAUACCGCAUACGUCCUGAGGGAGAAAGUGGGGGAUCUUCGGACCUCACGCUAUCAGAUGAGCCUAGGUCGGAUUAGCUAGUUGGUGGGGUAAAGGCCUACCAAGGCGACGAUCCGUAACUGGUCUGAGAGGAUGAUCAGUCACACUGGAACUGAGACACGGUCCAGACUCCUACGGGAGGCAGCAGUGGGGAAUAUUGGACAAUGGGCGAAAGCCUGAUCCAGCCAUGCCGCGUGUGUGAAGAAGGUCUUCGGAUUGUAGAGCACUUUAAGUUGGGGGGAAGGGCAGUAAGUUAAUACCUUGCUGUUUUGACGUUACCAACAGAAUAAGCACCGGCUAACUUCGUG